rnacentral:rRNA from 1 species
ACGCUCGACACCUACGGGAGGGCGAGCAGGUGGGGGAGUAUUGCGCAAGUAGGGGGAAACCCGUACGACGCAGCAACGCCGCGUGAAGGAACGGUAAGGGUUUUUCGGUAUUAGUUAAACUUUACUUUUUGUUCGAGGGACGGAAAGAAAUGACGGUACCUGAACGAAAUAAGCUCCGGCUAACUACGUGCCUGCAGCCGCGGUAAUCUGAGGCCGGGCGUGGACGAAGGC